rnacentral:lncRNA from 1 species
AGUAUGUAGAAUGUUUGGCAAUAUAUAGAAUGUUUACCCGAACAUAUAUCACUUUUUUUUUUGAAUAAAAAAAUUAUUGAUGCAACCAAUAAAAAUACAAAGAUCGGGAUCAACCCAUCCCCAGGAGCACAAGCUCAAAAACCCUGACCACCUCCAGCCAACCCCUACCGCCUGUAUCUACGAAAACUUGGAAAACCAGACGCAUCUAAGGUAAUAUCUCCCCUCACCAACCUAGGUAACGCAUUAUAGGCCUCAUAAAUUGUGGUACACCUAGCCUCCACCCUGUCCGCCGGCUUGUUUGCCUCCCGAAAGCAAUGCGACACGGCUUCAAAAUACCGUCUAUAUUGUUGCAGCUCGAGUAACUCCCUCUACAAUCUCCACGGACACCUAACUAUCCCCUGAAUAAUAUGGACCAAAACCAGUGAAUCAGACUCCAGAUGUAGCUUACCUAAGCCACGGGAUACCCCUAAUCGAACCUCAAAAAGAAGGGCUUUCAUCUCCGCCUGAAGGCUUGUAGCCUCUCCAGAAUAACAUGAAAACCCAAGCAGGAACCUCCUAUCACAAUCCCUGAACAAACCCCUACCUCCACUCCUCCCUGGAUUACCUCUUGAGCACCCGUCGGCAUUCAGUUUCACCACCGAGUGAGUCGGGCACCCUAACAAAUCUCCCUUAUGAUAACCUUGCUCCGCAACCUAGCUAUCAUAUAAAAAAAAAAACCAAUUCGUGAAGUACAAGGCAGUGAUAUCUCCUGAAAAUGAACACCAAAGGAUUCUCUCAACUCCAAGAAGAUCCGAUCACAAACAUGCAUUACCGAAUCUAGUUUACCCUCGAAAAUCCACAUAUUUCGCAUCUUCCAUAAAUUCCAGCAAAUUAAGGAUGGCAAUGUGCGGAGAACAAAACCAAGGUAUGAAUUAAUAGUAGGUCUAGCC